rnacentral:misc_RNA from 1 species
UUCUUUGUUUGGUUUCUUUUCUAUUGUCUAUCAAAAUGUGCGAACCAUUAGAGAAGAAAAAUAAGCGAAGCUUUCAAGAAGCUUGGCUUAGCGACAAUGAAUAUAAAUUUUGGAUACGUAAAGUAGCGUUAAAUGAUAAUCUUUUUCAUUGUACCAUAUGUAAGAAAAAUUUUUCUUGUAAUACACGUAUUUCAAGACAUGCAAAUUCUACAUGUCACAAAGAAAAUCUGCAAAAAACUAAAUUUUCUUUAUCAAAAAAUGACGAUGUAAAGAAACGUAUUUCUCAGACAAAACAAAAAUUCCGACAAGAAUGGUUAGAUAUUGAAAUAUUUAAACCAUGGUUACGCGAAGCAUCGCAUGAUAAAACCUUAUUUUUUUGCGAAUUUUGCAAAAAAUACAUGGAUGCUAGUUUAUGGCACAUUUAUCGUCAUGCAGAUUCUAUAACACAUUUAAAAAUUACUACAGAUAUAAAUAAAGAAAGAAAGAAAACAGACCAAGAUAUUAACAUUACAGACGAGUCACUUUUGUCGUUUGAUGAGCGAAAGAAAGAAGCAGAAAUUAAAUAUGCUGCGUUUAUCGCCGACAAAAAUAUUUCUCAUCAAACUGCAAAAGAUAUUCUCUCGUUUUUUCAACAGAUAGGAAAAGAUUCUAAAGUAUUAGAAGCUAUGAGUAUGAGUCGGACUAAAUGUAAUAAAAUAAUUUCAAACGUGUUAUGUCCAGUUGAAACCGAUCGUGUUGUUGACAUUCUUCAAAAUAAUAAAUUUACCAUUUUUAUUGAUGAAACGUCUGAUAUUACUAAUAACAAAUGGAUGACGUUUCAUAGUCGGUAUGUUGAUCCUGAAACAUUAGAUGUUCGCUCGCAAUUAGUCAAAUUAAUUGAUAUUGAUGCAAGAAAUAGCAACGCGGAAAAGUUAUUUGAGGCAUUUAGAAAUGUAAUGUAUAAACUACAAAUUCCAUUUCUAAACAUUGUUGCCUUAUCAUGUGAUAAUGCAUCUGUAAUGACAGGCAAAAAUUCAUCUUUUAAAACUAAGCUUGGGAACAUUUGUAAAAAUGUUUUAACAUUGUCUUGCCCAUGUCAUUCCGCCGCGUUAGUUGCACAUGCUGCAUGCAGUAAGAUUCCAAACUAUUGCGAGGAAUUUAUUAAAAAAAUAGCAACUUUUAUUAACAAUAGUCCCAAGCGAUCUGCUAUUUUUCAAGAAUUUUGUGAAUGUUUUCAGGAAACAAACCGCAAAAUUCUAAAGUUAUCCGAUACACGAUGGCUUUCUCGGCAUUUGUGUAUUGAGAGACUUUUAGAAUAUUGGGAUACUAUCAAGCUUUUUUUACAAGAAACUGUUAUUAAUGAAAAGACAAAGACUGGCGAAUAUUUAUUAGAUAUUAUGCAAAAAUUUGAUGUAAAAGCAUACUUAUUAUUUUUAAAACAUAUUUUACAUUUUUUUAAUACGUUUAACACUUUCUUUCAAGCAUUGGAAACAAGAAUACAUCUAUUACAACCUAAAUCACUUCAGUUCCUAACCAUGAUUUGUAAACCUUUUUUAAAAACAGAGUUUUUAAAUUAUGUAAAUAUUAAUUUUGAUUUUUCAAAUAUAGAACAUCAAAAAUCAUUAAACGAAAUAUAUUUAGGAACUGAAUGUGAAAAAUAUCUUGAUGGAUUGAUUACAGAAGGACACGUAGAUGUAGUUGCAAAUGUUCGACAGAACUGUUUGCAAUUUUACAUUACUGCUGCUCAAGAAAUUUCUAAAAAACUACCAAUAAAUGAUCCAUUCUUGUCCAAAUUAAAAGUUUUUGAAGCAGAGACAGCAUUACGUGAUCCUAAUAGACAAACAUCAUUUAAUGAUGUUUCUUUCAUUGCUAAAACUUUUAGCGGGUUUGAUGAUAACGGAUUAAAAAAAGAAUGGUUUGCUUUACAUCAAAAUUUUACAGAAAUAGAAAAAGAUAAUUUUAUAAUGUUAAAUUUGGAUGAAAUGUGGAAAAAAAUUUUUCAACGCAGUGAUCAAUUUCCCAAUUUAAAAUCUCUUUUGAAUGCUGUUAGAUCACUGCCAAAUUCAAAUGCCGACUCAGAAAGAAUCUUUUCCUUUCUGCCAGACUUAAAAACAAAAAAACGAAAUAAACUUUCGUCUGAAGUAGUCAAUGCUACUUGUGUUAUAAAAUCAGCAUUGAAAGCGAGAAAAGAAACUGCUCUAGAUAUAAAAAUUAAUGAGAAGCAUAUAGCUUUAAUGUCAUCUAAUCAAUUAUAUUAUACAUGUCCUAAAAGAGCAAAAUGUCAUUUAACAUUAUAUGCUGCAGAUAGUGAUAAUGAUGAUGAUGAUGAUAAUGAGAUUCAUCAACCUUCCACUUCUAAUAAUAUACAAUAAUAAUGUUUAAAAAUGUUUUAAAUUUAUUUUUCUAUUAAACAGGUCUGGUAAGCUAGACUUUACAUACAUCUAUAAAUAAUAGGUGUGUUUAAGUAACAAUUAAAAACUAGUCUGGCAUGCUAGACCUCACAUCUAUAAAUAAUUGAUGUGUUAAAGCAUUAAACAGGUCUGGUAAGCUAGACUUUACAUCUAUAAAUAAUAGAUGUGUUUAAGCAACAAUUAAAAACUAGUCUGGCAUGCUAGACCUCACAUCUAUAAAUAAUUGAUGUGUUAAAGCAUUAAACAGGUCUGGUAAGCUAGACUUUACAUCUAUAAAUAAUAGAUGUGUUUAAGCAACAAUUAAAAACUAGUCUGGCAUGCUAGACCUCACAUCUAUAAAUAAUUGAUGUGUUAAAGCAUUAAACAGGUCUGGUAAGCUAGACUUUACAUCUAUAAAUAAUAGAUGUGUUUAAGUAACAAUUUAAAACUAGUCUGGUAUGCUAGACCUCACAUCUAUAAAUAAUUGAUGUGUUAAAGCAUUAAACAGGUCUGGUAAGCUAGACUUUACAUCUAUAAAUAAUAGAUGUGUUUAAGUAACAAUUUAAAACUAGUCUGGUAUGCUAGACCUCACAUCUAUAAAUAAUUGAUGUGUUAAAGCAUUAAACAGGUCUGGUAAGCUAGACUUUACAUCUAUAAAUAAUAGAUGUGUUUAAGUAACAAUUUAAAACUAGUCUGGUAUGCUAGACCUCACAUCUAUAAAUAAUUGAUGUGUUAAAGCAUUAAACAGGUCUGGUAAGCUAGACUUUACAUCUAUAAAUAAUAGGUGUGUUUAAGUAACAAUUAAAAAUUAGUCUGGUAUGCUAGACCUCACAUCUAUAAAUAGAUGUGUUAAAAAUUUCAAUAAAUUAAAUGUGGUAUAAUAGGGCUACUGGCGAAGGUCCACGUAAAAAAACCUAACGCGCUAUAUAGUGGCACCUCAUGGGUGGCGUGGAAGCCACUUAAAUAAUUUAAAUUUUUUUCAUUAAUCUUUUGCUAACUCGUCAGCUCUUUUUUAUUUGUGUAUUUAAUAAAUUAUUACAAAUUUUAUUAUUUAAUUUAUAUUUUUAUUGAAAUUAAUUUUAUUAUAAUUUUAAAGACAAUAAAUUACAUUAAUAGUAAAAAAUUAAAUAACAAAUAAUAAUAAAUAAUAUGAUUAAUGAUAUCGAUGAUAGAUAUCAAUUAAUCUGCUUAACGUCCACGCUUGAGAUGAGCGGGGGACGAGCGAGGGGAGGGCGAGCAUAAAUGCUUUCGUCGAGCAUCAACGUGCCCGCGAACGCACGUUUUCGUGGCAGCCUUGGAGAAAAAGAGACGGAUGUCUCUCUCUCUUUAAUAUCCGAGUAGUGGCAGACGCGGCGAGAACGGCCGAGCCGGCCCGAAAGCCGAGGCAUGAACGCGGCCGACUCGGUGCUCCGGGAGCACCCGAGGUGCCCCGAGAGUACCCGAGGUGCUAGCGGACUAAAUCUUGCACCACUGCCGCGAUCCACCCCGCUUUUGCGUGCGAGCGGUUCAGCCGUUAAGUUGCGGGUCGUGUCUCGAGAGACCAAAGUUAUCGGUGUGGCGCGUGCUGGGCCAUUGCGAGAGCCAGAGGACGAGCCGAGAGACGAGGGAGGACGCCCUGGACGUUAUCGAAAUAAUCAUCAGUGGAAACAAUACUUCUUCUUCGCAUUUGGUUCAAAAUGUCAUCAAAAGCUGGCUACAGCAUGCUGGCGAUCGAAUAACUCAAGAAAGAAAACGUCAUGAAUCACGAAGAAAUAUGUAACCGUUCGCGCCAUAUCACAGAAGAAUUUGUUUUGUUAUUAUAGUAUUAUAAGUCGCGCAUAAUAAUAAUAUGCGAAUAAUACUAAAUUAUCUUGAGUAUAAAUUGACAACUAUAAAAUGCUUUUCUCUCUUUAGUUUCUCAUUCAAUAUUAUCUACAUAAUAUAAAUUACUCAGUUCAAUUUUGGGAGGAAAAAACUGCAGAAUGUGUACGAAGGGGAAAAAAACAGAAGUAAUAACGGAAUAGAUAUUUUUUUAUUAUAUUAUAUUUGAUAUUAAAAAUUUACAAAUAGUAUUAUAUUAUUAUUUGUUUAUAAUUUAAUAGCGUUAUUAAUUUUUUAAAAAAUAAUAACGCUACUAGAUAGCAUUUUUUAGCCUGUUCAUGACAUUUGAUAAGCCAAAGUAUCAGUUGAAGUGCAUUUUAAUGUAUUUCGUACACAUUCUGCAUUUUUUCCUCUCAAAGUUAAACUGGGCAGCAAUCAUGUAACUUUUUCCUUAAGGCGGAAACGUGAAAAGUGAAAAGUUUCAUGUAACUAUCUCUUUCUAUUGGUGUUGAAUAGAAAGAGAUGGUAACUUGAAACUUUUCAUUUUUCACAUUUUCGCCCUAGGGAAAAAAUUACAUGAUUGAUACCCUGAUUAAUAUAAUAAUUUAGAUUAUGCAGAUAAUUUUGAAUAAAAAACUAAAGAGGAGGGGGGGAAGCAUUUUAUAGUCGUCAAUUUGUACUCUAAGCUAGAUGAUUUAGUAUUAUUUAUUUAGUGUUACUUUUUUGUUUAUUUUCAAUCUUUUAUAAACUUUUCAUUUUUAAGAAUACAUACACUUGCGACCAAAUAUACAUAUGAGAAACACGAGAUGAGAAAAAAUCAUUCAAAUGUGAUAAGAAUAU